rnacentral:rRNA from 1 species
UACGGAGGGUGCAAGCGUUACUCGGAAUUACUGGGCGUAAAGCGCGCGCAGGCGGCUAUCCAAGUCAGUGGUGAAAGCCCGGAGCUCAACUCCGGAACUGCCAUUGAAACUGUUUAGCUUGAGGAUGAGAGAGGUGAGUGGAAUUCCCAGUGUAGAGGUGAAAUUCGUAGAUAUUGGGAAGAACACCGGUGGCGAAGGCGGCUCACUGGCUCAUUACUGACGCUCAGGCGCGAUAGCGUGGGGAUCAAACAGG